GCGCACGUCACUGGACGGCACUGCAGAAGCAGGCGAGUUCGCGAGUGUAUCGAUUUUGCGAUCGUGUCUCUCGCGACUAGUGCGUCCGUUUCCUUUAGUUUUUAGUGGCCGUGCUCGUCGUACAUGGAUGAAAUCGUGAAUGGGAUUACCCGCUAGGUUAAUUGCACCGUACAUCCGUUGACUCGCAACGCCUCGUCACCCAUCAGCAUGACCAAGGAUAGAUUAGCAGCUUUAGUCGCGGCCCAGUCGGACGACGAUGACGUGGCGGACGAGGUGUCCGUCAAUGUCGGCGGGCCGGAUGACUUCAUGACGGAGUUUUUUGCGGAGGUGGAGGAGAUACGUGAAAUGAUAGAUAGAAUCCAGACGAAUGUCGAGGAUGUCAAGAAGAAACACAGCGCCAUUUUAUCGGCGCCACAAACGGACGAGAAGGUCAAAAUGGAGUUGGAAGACUUGAUGUCCGACAUCAAGAAAACUGCUAACAAAGUCAGGGCUAAGUUAAAAGUGAUAGAACAGAAUAUAGAGCAGGAAGAGCACACGAACAAAUCGUCGGCGGAUCUGAGGAUACGCAAGACUCAACAUUCAACAUUGUCUAGGAAGUUCGUAGAGGUGAUGUCGGAAUACAAUCGAACACAAACCGAUUAUAGAGAACGGUGUAAGGGAAGAAUACAACGACAGCUUGAAAUCACGGGGAGGACGACCACUAACGAUGAACUCGAAGAAAUGCUGGAACAAGGAAAUCCAGCAGUCUUCACGCAAGGGAUCAUCAUGGAAACGCAACAAGCGAAACAAACCCUUGCGGAUAUCGAGGCACGUCAUGCUGAUAUUAUAAAACUCGAAAAUUCGAUCAGGGAAUUGCAUGACAUGUUUAUGGACAUGGCUAUGCUGGUAGAAAGUCAGGGUGAGAUGAUAGAUCGUAUAGAAUAUCACGUGGAACAUGCGGUCGAUUAUGUCCAAACGGCCACGCAGGACACCAAAAAAGCACUCAAGUAUCAAAGCAAAGCUCGACGGUACAGUCAAUGUAUGUACAUAUGUGUACAUAUAUACACGCGCAUUAUAUAAUAUAUUAUAUUAUAUAUAUAUAUACAUAUAUACUAUAUACUGUCUGUGUGUAUCUCUAACUGUAUCGCUCUAUCCUGUCGAACAUAGGUGUGCUAAUUGUGCCUCUGUCCAUGAAACGCUCUGUCUAUACUCUCAUACUAUAUACUAUAUAUACAUACUAAACUGCGCUGUCAAACUAAUUGCGUUCUAUACGUGAUUGUUUAGUGCGUGCGUACAUAUAUAAAUAUAUAUAAAUAUAUUUAUAUUUAUAUAUACACCUAAACACGCGUUUAUACUUACUCGUUGUUUUCAUCCACUUGUACGAAAAUUUUGUUUUGUAUUAAUCAAUUAACACAACGUCUAUAUAAUAUCCCUUUAUAAUCUGAGAUAAAUCUCUCUAUGUGUCCACUAUGAUUAUGUGUUUUUACCAUAUUCAUAUACAUAUAUACAUACAUAUAUGUAAAAAAAAACAACAUAUAGUAUACGUUAGUUAGGCGAUAUAUAGUUACGUGUAUCGUCGCGAUAUUCGGUUACGUAUUUUGUGCAUAUACUUACACACACGGAUAUUGUUGGUGUAUCAUUCGGAUGUUAUAUAUAUUUUCAUAAUAUUAGUAUGUGUGCGUAUGCGUGUAUUAUACAUGCAAACGAUAUUAUUUCAUCCCAGUCACGUCAAGGUGGCAAAGUUUUGUUUACAAUUGAUACGUCAUCGAAGCGCUAUUCAUCUCGCGUUGGAUCCUAAUAUUUUGGAUGCGUUCUUCGUGAGUAAAGGUGAUCGAAACGAAGAUUUCACCUUCAGUUAGUCUGAAUCGAGCCGUCGAAGACGAAGAGAACGUCAAAGCAAGCUCGUAAGGUAAAAACGUUCUAACGAAAAGAUUACUUUUGAACGUCGUCAGAACACAUCUGUCCGCUUUUUUACGAACUGGAAGAAGUUACAUUAAUACGAGAUAGUUCUUCUUCUCCGACGACGUUCAUACAUCAAGGAUGUGCAGCAACAGACGAACGAAAAACGAGAGCAAAAAGGAAUCCCUCUAUGAAAUUGAUCCUGAUCGUAAUCUGCUUGACGAUAGCAGUCAUCAUUUUGAUUAUUAUUUUGGUACUUACUAUAAGUUGAAACGCGACCCGUGAUACGAGGACUUUGGCUCUAAUUAGGCACAUAUACAUACAUACACAUACAUAUGUAUAACAACGAUGAAUAGAAACGCGUGCAGUAAUUAAAUACUGUUGGAUAGAACGCGUACAUGUCCUUAAGUUCUCUCGCUUUCUUCUCAAUGUUCUAUUUCAUGAGAAAAGAUCACCGUAACAAUCGAUCACGAUUCAUGAUUCACGUUAUUUUUUUUUUCUUCCUUUCGUUUUUCUUUUGUUUUUUUUUUCUUUCUUUCUAUUCUCAAAGACAAUUUUUUGAAUUCGAGUAUAUUUCAUCUGAUGAGAUAGAGAAGAAAGGAGAAGGAAACAAUCUCUUUCAUUUAACGCCUUCCCCCUUCGAAAUUUGAUAGUAAAAAUGGAAAAAAGAAAAAAAGGAAGAAAGGAAAGAAGGAAAAUUAUAGAAUAAUAAAAAUGUUGUCCGCGCACGCGCACCUCGUCAAUAAUUUAUUUCGAUUUUCUAUAUUCUUUUUGUAAGGUUUGCUGCGAUGUAUAUUCAAUAGUUAUUUUUGUCAAAAGAAAAGAACAGUUAAAUGAAACAAACAGUGUCAUAUGAGAAAAGAAAAAGGGGGAAGGAAGGAACGGAGAGAUAGCUUAGAGUAAAUUAGUCCAUUAUGCCAGUCGAAGUUGCCACUCCAAAGACAGCAUUUAAACGAAGCUCAGGAUUUUUUCUUACUCAACAUAAAUAAAAACUAUAACACACACUGAUUCGAUGAAUUUCGAUAUAUAUAUAUAUAUGUAAUAUAUACGUAUAUAUACAAUAUAAACAAUCCUCCUAUAUCUCCUAGGAUUCAAUUUUGGAAAAUCAUGAGAUGGAGAAGAGAAGGAGGAAGAAGAAAAGAUUUAAAAAAGAUUGGAAAAAAAAAACAAAAAAAAAUAAACAAACAAACAAAUAGCUACAACUAUCCAAAUGCACAAUAAAGUACGUCGGAAUAAUUGUCACUUAUUUCGACGCGUUCCUUCGUGUUCGAACGUAUUUUCACUGCCCUUUUCUGUUCAUUUUUAUUAUCGUUUUCCACGCAUAUCACCGUUCCUCGAUAGACGAGUAAGAUAGAACAUAAAAGACUUUCUAAGGAAAAAAAAAAAAUAACUGAUUAAUAAGUAUUAUUCAUUGUAUAGAUGAAGAUGAAGAUGAAGAAAAAAGAUAAUAAAAAGAACAAAAAAUAACACAAAUAUACGAAAGUGGACUUUCGAUCUAAUACAAUUUCGUACUAUACGAAGUACUGGACAAUUUAGUCACGUCUCACUGGUCGAAGCUUAUUAAUAAUAUUAAUUAAUUAACGCGAAUUCACAAGAUUCAUCUUGCCGAUGUCACUUUUCUUUUUUCAUUCUUUUUUUCACGUUUAAUCUCUUUGAAACUUUGUUUUCUCCCUCGAGCGAGAAAUUGAAUAUGAUUAGUGAAUUCGUUGUUUGAUUUAAUUUAAUGACCACUUAAUUAUUUAAUUAAUUAAUUAAUAUAUAUAUAUAUAUAUUGUAUAUACACAUACACUCCUUAUAAAUAGCGAUAAGUCAUUUUCGUCAAAGUAGACGGAAAAUUUUUGUUCGAAUCAUUGCAUUCUGUAAAUAAUUGCAAUUUGUAUUAAAAAAAAAAAGCAGAAAGAGAUAGAGAGAGAGAGAGAGAGAGAGAGAGAGAGAGAGAGAGAGAGAGAGAAAGAAAGAGAAAAAGAAAGAAGGAGAGAAAUAUUGAGAGAUAGAAAGAACAAUAUGUUUCUUAUUUUCUCUUUCACGUUUAAACGUUCAUCGUCAAUUAACGUUCACGUUAAUUAGGUAAUUAAAAAAGACAAAUAAUGUACAGCAAGUUACAGACAAACAAACGAAAGCGUGUUAAUGUACAAGAAGAUCAAAAAAGGAGGAAAAAUAUUGCUUUGUGUUAAUAGGCUGAUAAACGAUAGGAAGACAGUGUAGGGAAGAAGGAAAGAGAGAGAGAGAGAGAGAGAGAGAGAGAGAGAGAAAGAAAGAAAAAUAAAGGAAAUAUAUUGGAGUUAUCAACAA